UUCAUCUCUCAUCUAUCUCUCUCCAAAACCUCAUUGUUUCCAUCAAAUGGCGAAUCCGCAGCCGGCGUCUCUGCGGCCAUGGUUCCUAGAAUCGGUGCCGUUCGUGGUGGUUCUCCUAAUAGUAGCUCACGUCCUAGCUCUGGUUUAUUGGAUGUUCAGAUUAGCUACUGAGAAGGAGAGGCAGCCCCGGAGGAGAAAAGCACACUGAGGAGCGACAGGUUUAUUUAUGAAAUUUAAUAAAUUAAAAACCCUAAUGUGUUGAUUUCUUGUGGAUUAGUGUUAAUUAAGUUUGAUUAAUAGCAAGUGAUUGCAGUUAGUUAUCUUUGUACUAAUAGAUGCUAUUUCCCCAUCAAGCUUUUAGCUUUAUACA